GGGCCUGUAGCUCAGUGGUAGAGCACUUGCCUUGUAGGUAUGAGACCUGGGUUUGAUCCUCAGCACCA
rnacentral:tRNA from 1 species